CACGGCCAGACCUAGUAAGCGCGAGCUGAACGCAGAGCCAUAGAGGAAGGAAGGCGCGACGGUCGGCCGCAAAGGCCGUGAAUCGGUACCCCGCGAGCGGCGGCGGACGCUGCUUGCAUGGCGGCGCGUUGUGCGUUCCGCGCCGUUUCAUGCCGCCGACUCACGCGGUUAGCAGAACGACACAUUGGAAACCGUGCGGGGUACACCAUGAAUUCAGAGGAAAG
rnacentral:ncRNA from 1 species